GUCGCGUCCAGGGCCACACCCGGGCUGCCCGUCGCUUGGGAGCGGCGCCCACUGGAAAGGUGGGGAAGAUGCGGCAAGGCGGCCGCGGGUGACCGCUGGCAGCCAUUGUGGCGUGCUCCCGUGCUGUCUUCCAAGAGCCUCGAAAACUGGGCUGCCAUAUAUUGGAAUCUACUACAUUGUAAUUUUAUUCACGUAUGGAACACCUGUAUAUACUUUUGAUUCUUGCUACAGAAACACAGUUCUGUAAAUGAAGGCCCAGCCAAAAAACCUUAAGAAGAUAGAGGUAAAAUUUUGCCUCCCCUACAGUUUCUGAUUAUGAGGUUGGGAUUUCAAUGGUUGGGACACUGAGAGAUCCUGGGACAGCUGACAAAAAGCCAGCAGAAGCAUUGGUCAAGACAGCAGAAAAGAUGAACCAACAGAAUGUAAGUCCAAUGAGAAGAGUCACUAGAACAUCUGUGGGAGCACAGAGGAGAAACUGCCCAGGAGUCAAGAAAGUUUUCAUAGAGGAGGUAAUAUUUGACUUGAAUUC